UUUUCCUCAGGUAGGAAAGACUACACCUAAAAAUCGUAAAAUAAUAAAAACCACACCGAGAACUAAAGACAUUUCAAAGACCGAUAGCUGUUUCCCUCUAGGCUUUGCCUAGUCUUCUUUAGAAUAUUCUGCCAAAAAGUCAUCUAAUAGAGUUUUUCUCUUUUUUGCAUUUUUUGUUAGAUAAUCUGCAAGAGCUUCCAUUUCACUGUCGGUUUUAGUAUCUGUAUCCAAUUGCGAAAUGGCCAGAUUCUUGGCAAAAUAGAGAGAGUCCAGGCUUCACAUAAUCAACUUAAAUCAUAACUUUGAUGAUAUAAAUUGAAAAGAGCCAAACACAAUUCAUGACUGAACCUAGAAAUUAUCUAAGCUGCCUACGUACCCUUUUGAAAGGGAUCAAGUCAAAACGUAGUUCAUAGGAUCAACAAGUGUUUGAGAUUGGGUGCCGUGCACAGUUUAUACUCAUGCGGGCCAGGAGUAACAUGCAGUUUAGGCUCGUGCGUCAAGGAGCUGUCUUCAUACACUCCAUUUUGUUGCUUUUCUUCAUCUGACUCAUUUUUUGGCUUUUCUUGUCUUUUCUUUAUUUUUUUUGGUUCUUUUAUUGUCUUUCAUUUUUUGUUCUUUUCUAUUUUUUUUUUUUUUUUGGAACUAUAUACAUAUGUACAUGCUUCAACUUCUACCACCCUUCAAGGAUAGUAGUACUUCAAGAACUUUCCUUUGAGAGUGAUAACAAUUGGCCUCCUUGCAGCGAGGGCCAUGUCUCCAAUUUGAAAAGAGGGCGCUCGCACUGCUUUGUUGAAGGAUCUUGAAGGAAGAGCAUGAUAGUAUUCCGAUUUUUGCUGGACUUCUAGUCUCUCUUCAUCCAGAGUUUCAAGUUCUUUGGGG
rnacentral:lncRNA from 1 species